AAGGAAUAUUGGUCAAUGGAGGCAACUCUGAACCAGCCAUGCCGCGUGCAGGAAGACAGCCCUAUGGGUCGUAAACUGCUUUUAUUGGGGAAUAACCGCCUGUAUGUAUACAGGAGUGAAUGUACCCAAGGAAUAAGGAUCGGCUAACUCCGUGCCAGCAGCCGCGGUAAUACGAAGGAUCCAAGCGUUAUCCGGAUUUAUUGGGUUUAAAGGGUGCGUAGGCGGCCUAUUAAGUCAGGGGUGAAAGACGGUGGCUCAACCAUCGCAGUGCCUUUGAUACUGAUGGGCUUGAUUGCAGCUGAGGUAGGCGGAAUGUGACAAGUAGCGGUGAAAUGCAUAGAUAUGUCACAGAACACCGAUUGCGAAGGCAGCUUACUAAAGUGUAAAUGACGCUGAGGCACGAAAGCGUGGGGAUCAAAC
rnacentral:rRNA from 1 species